UUGCAGCCCGACUUGAACGGAGCUCUUUUUGCGUAGCGCAGCGGAGCAAAAAAGCGGGAGUGGAAGGCGGAUAAAGC
rnacentral:misc_RNA from 1 species